CGAGCGAGGCCUAUUGGAGAGCUUGCUCUCCGAUAGAGUCGAGCGGCGAACGGGUGAGUAACACGUGGAUAACCUGCCUUUGGAUGGGGGAUAGCCCGGGGAAACUCGGAUUAAUACCGCAUGAUACCGCAAGGUCAAAGAGGGCUUCGGCUCUCGUCUGAAGAGGGGUCCGCGUACGAUUAGCUUGUUGGUGGGGUAAUGGCCUACCAAGGCGACGAUCGUUAGCCGGCCUGAGAGGGUGAUCGGCCACACUGGAACUGAGACACGGUCCAGACUCCUACGGGAGGCAGCAGUGGGGAAUUUUGCGCAAUGGGGGAAACCCUGACGCAGCAACGCCGCGUGGAGGAUGAAGGCCUUUGGGUUGUAAACUCCUGUCAGUGGGGAAGAAUGACCUAUGGGUUAAUACCCCGUAGGCUUGACGGUACCCGCAGAGGAAGCCCCGGCUAACUCUGUGCCAGCAGCCGCGGUAAUACAGAGGGGGCUAGCGUUAUUCGGAAUUAUUGGGCGUAAAGGGCGCGCAGGCGGCCUGGCAAGUGGAAGGUGAAAUCCCUCGGCUCAACCGAGGAACUGCCCUCCAAACUGCUAGGCUUGAGUCCGGGAGAGGCGAGUGGAAUUCCCAGUGUAGCGGUGAAAUGCGUAGAUAUUGGGAGGAACACCAGUGGCGAAGGCGACUCGCUGGACCGGAACUGACGCUGAGGCGCGAAAGCG
rnacentral:rRNA from 1 species